rnacentral:rRNA from 1 species
UGGGGAAUAUUGGACAAUGGGCGAAAGCCUGAUCCAGCCAUGCCGCGUGUGUGAAGAAGGCCUUUUGGUUGUAAAGCACUUUAAGCGAGGAGGAGGCUACUUAGAUUAAUACUCUAGGAUAGUGGACGUUACUCGCAGAAUAAGCACCGGCUAACUCUGUGCCAGCAGCCGCGGUAAUACAGAGGGUGCGAGCGUUAAUCGGAUUUACUGGGCGUAAAGCGUGCGUAGGCGGCUUUUUAAGUCGGAUGUGAAAUCCCUGAGCUUAACUUAGGAAUUGCACUCGAUACUGGGAAGCUAGAGUAUGGGAGAGGAUGGUAGAAUUCCAGGUGUAGCGGUGAAAUGCGUAGAGAUCUGGAGGAAUACCGAUGGCGAAGGCAGCCAUCUGGCCUAAUACUGACGCUGAGGUACGAAAGCAUGGGGAGCAAACAGG